rnacentral:rRNA from 1 species
CAAACAGUAAUUCAAAGGGGUUAUUAAGGAAAAACUAGCAAAUUUAUAAAAAAGGAGGGCACAAGUCCAAAAGCCACAAUUUACCGAAAGGUGAUCAAGUUUCAUUAGAUUUAUUUAAUGUUGACAAAGAAUGUAGGCGAUCCUAAGGGAAACCUUUAUAUUUAAACUUCCCGAAGUAAAACAUUUCAUUAGGGAAAGGAAAGGAAAUCAACCGAGACUCCGAAAGUAAUGGCGAGUGAAAUCGGACUAGCCUUUAUUUAAAAAUAAAUUUAACAAAAAUACACACCAGAAACCAAAGAAGGUAAAACAGUCCUGUAUGUUAAAUCUUUUUAAAACUAAUGUUUAAAUAAGUAUUAUUAAAUUAAAAUUUAUUUAAAUAAUGAGUACGACGAGAGCGAACUUGUCGGAAUAUAGGGGAACCAUCCUCUAAGGCUAAGUAUUUAUAAAUUUAGCGAUAGUGAAAAGUACCGUGAGGGAAAGUUUGAAAUAGUUAUGUAAUUUUAGACAUAAAUGAAAUAGUUGAAUUAGUAACUCUAUAAGCAGUCGAAAUUUAUAAUUAUAAAUGACGGCGUACCUUUUGCAUAAUGGGUCAGCAAGUUAAUAGGAGUAGCAAGGUUAAAAGCCUUAGUGAAAGCGACCACACUAACUAGCUAAAAGUAUUCUUAAUUUCAUAGAUAUUAAGAAUAGGAUAUCCUUCAUAGUCAUAAGGCUAAGAAGUUAAAUAUUUUCUAGGAAUAUAGUGAUGGGUAAGUUACUUCUAUUAGACCCGAAGCUAGGUGAUCUUCCUAAGACCAGAUUAUAAUGGAUCGAACGGGUGAAUGUAGCAAAAUUCUCCGAAGAGUUUUAGGAAGCGGUGAAAUGCCAAUCUGACCUAGUGAUAGCUGGUUUUCUACGAAACAUAUGUAAGUAUGACAUCUAAACAAAAUUUAUGGUGGUACAGCACUGAGUUCCCAACUAUUUCUUUUUUUUAAAGAAAAGUUUAGGUUGCGGGGACGUCGAAAAUCUUACCAAUGGAAGAGAAUCUCGGAAUGACAUAAAUUGAUGAUAGAUAUUCAGACUGCUCAUGCGAAGUUGGGUAGUCAAGACGGAAACAGCCGAGAACACGAAACAAGGUCCCAAAUGAUUUUUAAGUGAAAUGAAGGAAGUAAUAUAUUGAAUGCAGCUGUAAAGUGAGCCUGGUAGUCGCUAUCUUUUAAUAAACGUAAUGUAACAACGUAGCAGCCUUAAACAAUAGAAUAUUACACCAAAAAUUUAACGGGUCUCAAAAAAUCAACCGAUAUCGUGUUUAUUUUGAAUAAUAAAAAUUAAUAUUCAAUAUACAGGUAGUAGAACAUUCAGUAUACUGAUGAUAAAACAGUGUUUCAUUGUUUUUAGGUCACUGAAGAGAGAAUGCUGACAUGAGUAACGUAAAAAGAAGUUAUAAUACUUCUCGCCGAAUACGAAAGGGUUGUAAGGAAAGGUUAAACCACCUUAUGUUAAUGCGGCCUCUAAGGAACAAAACCAAAGUUUUGUCUGAUGAGUAUGAAUUAGAAAGUCCAUUUUUAAAAAUAAAAAUUUAAUAAAGGGACCAGGAAAAGAAUAUAUUCUUAACUACCGUACCCUAAACCGACACAGGUUCGUAAGUAGAGUAUACUAAGGCGUAGAGCUAAAAGUUGUUAAGGAACUCGGCAAGUUCUCCUCAUAAGUUUGACGAUAAGAGGAACCCGAUAAGGGUGGCACAAAAUCGGAGGCCCCGACUGUUUACUAAAAACACAAUUCAGAGCAAUGAUGAAAAAUCAUAGUAUUCUGGAUGAAAUUUGCCCAAUGCCAUUAACAUAAAAGAGGUUAUGGGUAACUGUAACUGAUUGAAAGUCUGGUUAAUAGCGGUCUUAACUAUGAGGAUCCAAAGGUAGCAAAAUAAAUUGGCCAUUAAAUGUGGUCUGGUAUCAAUAGUGUAACGAUGGUCUCACUGUCUCUACAACUUGCUCAGUGAAAUUGAAUUACCCGUGCAGAUGCGGGUUGCCUCCAGGUGGACGGGAAGACCCUAUGCAGCUUUACUGUAGUUAGCUAUCAUAUUGAUCUACAACAACCUUAGUUAAUAGUAAUUAGGGAUGUCGAAUUGACGAAAGAUGGAAUACCUUCUGACUUUGGUUGGGUUAAUAUUUACCUUUUUAAGUAAAAUAUUAUAUAUGACUCAAAAUUUUCUUUUGUUUAUUCUAUUCAUAUUCUGUUAUAUAGUGUAAUAUGGUAUAAAGCUUAUAAGGGAUAGGUGGCUAAUUGGCAGUUUGACUGGGGCGGUCGUCUUUGAUAAAGUAGCAAAGUACAUCCAAAGAUAUUUAUUUAUUAGAAACAAUCUUUUUUUAAAAAGAUACUUACUAAAAAUUCAUAGUAUCUAUAUAAACUAUGAAGAAUAUAAUUUAUUAUAUUUUUAUUAACUUAAGGUAUAGCUAGAAAAUUGAAUGGAAAUCAAUCAACCAGUGUGAAAGGUUGUAAUAGGCGUAAUGGCGGAAAGCAUGCCUAACUGAAAGACUUAGAAGUCGAACAGAUACGUAAGUAGGGCAUAGUGACCCUUCGCUAUAUUAUGGAAUAGACGGGGAUCAAUCGAUAAAAGUUACGCUAGGGAUAACAGGCUGAUAGCUGGUGAGAGUACACAUUGUCCCGGCUGUUUGGCACCUUGGAUAUAUUAUAUUAAAUUUAUAAAUACCACAUAAAAUUAUCAGUAUCUCAUUAUUUUGUUUGCUUCGUGCAAUAGAUAGUUCUUAAAAUUAUAAGAGCCCAAUUAUUUUAAUAAUUAAUCUAAAAUGAAUAAACCUGUAAUUUAAAUGUUAGUAGGAAAUCUUCUAGGAGAUGCCUCUAUCAAAAAAACAGUAUCUGGUAAAGCUUAUAUAACAUUUGAACAGUCUAUAAAAAAAUCUGAUUAUUUAAAUCACUUGUAUGAGCUAGUAAAAAGUAGUGGUAUACCUUUAAAAAAAGAAUCUCCUACUGUUUACUCUAGAGACGAUGAUAGAUUUGGAACUACAAAUAAAUCAUUAUAUUUUAGAACUGAGGCAGUAGAAGAAUUAAAACCUUUAGCCGAUUUAUUCUUGGAUGAAUCUGGGAAAAAAAUAAUACCUAGAAAUAUUUCUGAGUAUUUAACAGAAAAAGGCUUAGCUCAUUGGAUCAUGGAUGAUGGCCAAAGAGUAAAAAAGAGGAGGUGUAACUUUAUGUACCGAUAGUUUUAACUCGGAAGAAGUAAGCAUACUUAGAGAUGCUUUAAAAAUUAAUUUUAAUUUUAAUACUUCUAUUCAUAAUAAAACAUCUAGCAAUGGAUCGGUUUAUGAAAGAAUAUAUAUAAAGAAAGAAUCUUUAGAUUCAAUUAUACCAACAUUGAAUACGCAUAUGCAUGAUUCAAUGCUUUAUAAAAUAAACUUAGAUAGAGUUUUUAGACAAGAUACUGAAGGCUUUAUAAGUGAUUCAGAUGUCAUAACUGAUAUAGAUAUGUUUGACGUUUAAAUUUAUAAUCUUAAUAAGCAAAUAUACAUCGGGGACUAUAAAUAGAAAUGUUUAUAUAAAAAUUGGCUAUAUGCUGGAACCCCCUAAAGCUUUAAGUACUCAUUUAUUUUUAUAAAUUGUAAUAAUCUUAAAGAUUGGGCAAUCAGCAGGGAAGUUACCUUUUUAGGUUAUAGCAACUGUAAAAUUUGUAACCCCUCAACGACUACACGCCAACACCCAGAGCUAACAUAAAGGUAUUCUUAUGCUGGGUGAAGAUAUAGUCUAAUCUUAACCGAAAGAUUAAGCCCAUCCUCAUAUGAGGUGGGAGUAUAUAUUUUAUAUACUAAUAUUGCGAUGUCGACUCAACCUAUCCUCCGGGGGUAGAAGCUUGGAAGGGUUCGGCUGUUCGCCGAUUAAAAGGUUACGCGAGUUGGGUUUAAUACGACGUGAGUCAGUAUGGUCCCUAUCUUCUGGAGGGAUAAAUAGUAAAAAGGGGCAGACCUUCUAGUACGAAAGGAUCAAUAGGCUGUGUUUCUCUAGUGUACCAAUUGUAAUUCUCUAUUCUAAAAAUUUUUAAAGGAUUAAAGAAAGAUUAAAGCAUAGUUGGGUAGCCACAAACAUGAUAGAUAAGCGCUGAAUGAAUAUUAAGCAGGAAGCUAUCCCCUAGAUACUAUCUUAUUGAUUAUCUUUUUAAUUGAUAUUUUAUUAGUUUUCUUUUUAAUCAAUGUGAAUAAGAAAUAGAACAUUUCUAAAUAGGAUGCAAAUGAAAGUGCUGUAA